GGUGGUGAAAGUGCGUCGUUCGCGUGUGCAGCAUUUUAUGGACUUGGUGUGCAGAAACUGAAACUCGGAUUCCGAGGCCAAUAUUUCUUUUGGAUAUAUACCACCGCACUGCUGCCGGGGCUGGUGCCGGUGCAGACGCUCGCCCCGAUCGACGCCGGAUGCUCGCCGCCGGGUGGCUUCAGAAUGUGAAGUCUGCCUGCUCCUGUUCGAUAGGUAAAGUUUCGGAGACACUGGUGCGUCUUCUGGAAACUGCAGUCUCAAGGAUGGCGACGGAGAAAGUGCGCCCAUGCUUUUCCAUGCCCUCGCGCUACUGAGCCAGAAUACCAGCAGCCAGCACCCUUCGAGCUGCAGUGCGCCGAUCUCGCGGUAGGAAGCGGUUCAAAAACUAAGCGAUCUCGCGCAGUGUUUGCGAUCUAUGGGAGUGUUUCAUUGUUUUUUUUUUUAAGGACCUCUUUUAGUGUUGUGUUUAACGGAUUGCGCCCCGUACCCGGCUCUUGAAUUGCAUGUUGGCAGAGAUGUCGUAUGAUGGGUUUUUGUAAUAAACUUCAGUGUUUUUA